rnacentral:lncRNA from 1 species
AAAAUGACCAUUUACAGUGAUGAGUCAAAUGACAGAUUGGCAAUGACGAGGCAUCAAAGGUGAGUAAAACAACGUCGUUUUGUGAAUCUUCGAUUAGAGUCACCUACACCCAAGAAAACGACGUAUUUUUAAAAGACUCUUAUUAAGAAGAAAAUAGUUAUGAUAUGUCUUGAAAAUUAAUUCACACUCCAAUAUAUCUAUUAUAUGAGAGCCAAUAGAGAUGCAAAUAAUUAUAUCUAUAUCAGUCUAUAAUGUUGUUUUAAUACAAGAUAACAUGAUUAAAUGCAUACAUAUGGUAACAGUUUGUGAGGGUUACAAGAAUUGAAGGCUUCUAAAAUAUAAGGUGGUCUCUCCUACUAUUGAGCCUAAUUUAAAGUUAAACAAACAACAAUAAACAUUUCAAAUACUAAAUUAUAAACUUUAAAAAAAACCCAUAUGAAAAAUAGAAUAACAAAAAGUGGCAGCAAUAAAAAACCAACAAAACAAACUUUACAAAAAAAGAACAAAAAAAUCAAAAUAUAAAUAAAAUUAUAAACCUCUCGAGCGCAGCGCUGAUCAACAACUAGUAUAUAGCUAACUACUCGGUUGCCGGCGCUACGCGCGGGAGUUUAUUAUGUUGUUUAUGAAUAAUUGGUUCGUAUUUUAUUUCGUACUUAUUUUUUUCACUAUACCAUACUUUACUUUUUUAAAACUUAAAUCGUGUUUGUAUAGAAAAACUAUUGAGUUUUAGCUUCAUUAGUCGUUGGAAAAUUAAGUGUGUAUAGUAUAAGUCGAAGUGUGGGCGUAAAUGGAAGUGCGGUUGAGAAUCAUUGAGAGACGUGUGCUAUUAGGGUUUUUACCAAAUAUAGAUCUAGAUGUUAAUAUUUUGGGCCCUUUUAUAUGUUGGCAUGAAAUUUGAACAUGAUUUGUGGGUUUCGGGCGGAUUGUUGUAUUUUUAAUUGUUUACAUAAUCUCUUUAUAUAUUGUCAUAAUUUAUUAUUUUUUGUUUUACGUUUUCCUUUUUUGGAUUUGUCGUACUUUCUAUCUCGUAAUGAUCAUUUAUAUACUAUGAUAUAUAUUUUUCUGAUUUUAUGUUUUAUAUAUUUUUUUGUUUUUCAUAUGGAACAAUUUUUAAAUUUAACAUAUUAGUAUAAUUUACUUUAUAUUUAGUUUAUUUCAUUUAUUAAUGUUUUUAUUUUAACUUUCAAUUUUAUGAAAUAUAGUUAAUUUUUUAUUUUAUUUAUUAGUUUAACAUAUGUGUUGUAUUGGAAACAAAUAGUUAAAUUCAUAUUGUGAACUUUUAAAGAAAUAUUAUUUUUAUUUUUACCUUUUUAUAUGUUUAUAAAAAAUGAGAAUUUAUGUUUCGGUCCGACCUAUCUCAUUUAUGUUAGAAAUUUUUUUGAGACAUAAAUUAGAUAGAUUUAUAUAUUCUCAAAUUUUUUUACUUUUUGUUCUAUUCCCAUUAAAUCCCAUUAUAUUUAGAUUUACAUUGUGUAAAUAUAAUCAUAUAUAUAUUUUAAACAUUCACUAAAAACUAUAAUCUAUUAUUUAUAUAUUUUUUAGUAUAAUAUAAAAAAAGACCUUUCAUAUUUAUUUUUGAAAAACUUAUUUACAUAGGUUUAAAUAUUAAAAUUAAAUGAUAAAAUGAUAUAAUUAAUUUUAAAAAUUAAAUAAUAAAAUGAGGUGGAUGAUGAUGUGGCUUAAGGAGAAGAGAGAAAAAGUUAACUUUAUAUAUAUAGAUUUUGCAAUAAUUGAUUGUAUGUGUUAUUGAAUGUAUUUCAAUUGAAUUUGAGAGAACUAUAAGUAUGUGUAUGUUAUACUAAAAAACCCUGAUUUUGUAAAAUAACUAUGCUUUUAAAACUUAGUAGUUAAUAGUUAAUAAAAAUAAUUAUUGAAUGUAACUAAGUGAGAUAUAUUUGAAAUAAAUAUAAAAAUUUGUUGAUGUUUUUAAAAUAGUAAUAUUAAUAAAAGACUACAUAAAAAUUAUAAUCUUUAAAAAAAAUAUUGAGUAACUACCAAAAAGUAAAAUUUAUCACAAGUUUAAAAUAUUAAUAUUCUUGUAAAAUAAAAUUUCUAGUUGCUAUUGCAAGUGACAAAUACUCUUAUAAAUGCUCCACUUUUUGUUAUGAUUUUCUUAAAUUUUUGUUUGGUUAAUAUUAAUACUACAUUAUUUUAAUAUUUUGAUACCACAUAAAUUAAUAAUAUGUGGCUUAUGUACAUAGUCUUAGGUUAUCUAAUGUUUCACUUCUAAAUCGUUGUUGUGGAAACUGUUAUUUGCAAGUUUUGAAAUAAGUAUAAUGUAUAUGUUAGUUAACAUAUGAUAUUUCAAUGUGGUGAAAGAACAAAGGAAGAAACAAAUUUUUAAGAGAGCCAGCAAGUGUUGAGAAACAUGAGAAGAAUACUGAGCUUGCGGAGCCUGAGAAGAAGCCUGCUGAGCCUAAGAAGCAUGUUGACCAAGAGAUUAAGAAGGGUAAGGAAAAAGGUUGAUGGGGAGGGCAAGGAGAAGGUUGAUGGGGAGGGUUUGAACGUGGCUAAGGAGAAGGCUACGUCAAAUUAGCGGUGAGUGUGAAGUCUAAGGAACUAUCCUUCACCAUUGAAGAUGAGGAGAAGAAGAAGAUAGUUGAUAAAGAGGAGAAGAAGAAAAUGGUCGAUGAUGAGAAGAAUGAGAAGAAAAAUCAUUGAAGGCCAAAACAAGAAGAAGUCGGCAUAGUUUAGGGUUCUAGUCAGUUGCCCUCGCUACACACGGGAGUUUUAUUAUGUUGUUUAUGAGUAAUUGGUUCGUAUUUUAUUUUCUACUUAUUUUUUUCACUAUAGCAUACUUUAGUUUUAAAAAGUUUUAUGUAUUAGCUUGAUUAGUAGUUGAGAAAUUAAGUGUGUAUAGUAUAGGUCGAUGUGUGGGUAUAAAUGGAAGUGCGAUAAAGUAAUGUAUAUAUUGUCAUAAUUUAUUUAUUUUGUUUUACGUUUUUAUUUUUUGGAUUUGACGUAAUUUAUAUCUCGUUUUGAUCAUUUAUAUAUUAUUAUAUAUUCAUUUAUAAUUUUCUGGUUUAUAUAUUUUCAUAUUUUUAUAGAGAACAAUUUUAAAAUUAAACAUAUUAGUAUAAUUUACUUUAUAUUUAGUUCAUUUCAUUUAAUUAUGUUUGUUUUUUAAUUUUCAAUCUUAAUGAAAUAUUGUUAAUUUUUAUUUUUUUAUUAGUUUAACAGAUGUGUUGUAUUGCAAAAAAUUAGUUAAAUUCAUAUUGGAAAGCUUAGAAAUAUUAUUUUUAUUGUUACUUUUUUAUACGUGUUUAUAAAAUAAGAAUUCUUGUUUCGUCUCAACCUAUCUCAUUUAUCUUGGAGAAUUUUGUGAGACAUAAAUUAGAUAGAUUUAUAUUCUCAAAGUUUCUUAUUUUUUUAUUCCUGUUAAAUCCCAUUAUAAUUUAGGUUUAGAUUGUGUAAAUAUAAUCAAAUUUUGUGUCAUACUAUUUUUAAUUGAUAUAUAUAUAUAUUCAUUAUAAAACAUUCACUUAAAAACUAUAAUCUAUUAUUGAUAUAUUAGUUAGUAUAAUCGAUAAUUAGUCAGUUUUUUAUUUUUUAAUCAAUUGCCUUUUUUAGUUUUAUAAUAUAAAAUACUAAAAAAGACCUUUUCAUAUUCCUUUUUUAAAAAGUUAUUUACAUAUGUCUAAAUCUAAAAAUUAAAUGAUAAAUGGCAUAAUUAAUUCUUAAAAUUAAAUAAUAAGAUUAGAUGGAUGAUGACUAGUAUGAUGAGGUGGCUUUAGGUGAAAAGACAAAAGCAUACUUUUUUUUUUCUCAAAAGUAAUAUUUUAUUAAACCCUUUAAUGGGCAUUACAAGUGGGCUUCAACGCCCAAACGAUUUACAAGGGAAAGCAGAACGGAAAAGUUUGUCGGCGAUGAGGUCAGAACCUGGUUUGACAAUCGGAGACAACGACUCCCGUCCAGGAAUUAUGGCGUUAACAAAGAGCACUACUUUGCUUCUCUAUCGGCGGCUCCAGUUAUUCGGCCGAAGCUAACGAAAUCGAACCAAAACCCUAUUACCAUUGAUGGAUCUUCUCCGUAAAACUCUUUCCAAACUGGACCAAAUCGAAGAUAACCGUGCCCACCACCAUCUUGUCCCAUACCUAGCAACAAGAGGCAUCGAUUCCAUCCAUCAUCUUCAGCGCAAGCUGACCAAACUCUUAUCCUAGCCAGCGCUUAAAUCCAUCUGGGCGGAUCAAAAACCAAACUCGGUAGCAAGUAGGAUCUUGGCUCAAAUCACCAUAACUGCCAACAAAUCCGAGUCAGUCAACACAGGUCUGAGAAAAUUCGGUCGUUAAUCGAUCCAACAAGGUGAAACCCUCCUAU